rnacentral:lncRNA from 1 species
GCCACUGUCUCUCUAUUGCUGUCACUGGUAAGGUGAACGUCAUCUUUCUGGGCAGUUAUUUGGACUACAGUGGAGUGUGAAAGACUCGCUUAUCCUAAACCAUGCCUCAUAAUCUAGGAAGCCAUAACAGAACAUUUCCUACAGUGAAGUGCAUAUGAAGCGCUAAUUCCAUGUGCCACAUUGGC